rnacentral:rRNA from 1 species
GACGAACGCUGGCGGCGUGCUUAACACAUGCAAGUCGAGCGGUAAGGCCCUUUCGGGGGUACACGAGCGGCGAACGGGUGAGUAACACGUGGGUGACCUGCCCUCAGCUCUGGGAUAAGCCCGGGAAACUGGGUCUAAUACCGGAUAUGACUCCAUGACGCAUGUUGUGGGGUGGAAAGCCUUGUGCGGCUGAGGAUGGGCCCGCGGCCUAUCAGCUUGUUGGUGGGGUGAUGGCCACCAAGGCGACGACGGGUAGCCGGCCUGAGAGGGCGACCGGCCACACUGGGACUGAGAUACGGCCCAGACUCCUACGGGAGGCAGCAGUGGGGAAUCUUGCGCAAUGGGCGAAAGCCUGACGCAGCGACGCCGCGUGAGGGAUGACGGCCUGGUG